rnacentral:rRNA from 1 species
CAUCGUCAGCAUUUAUAAUAUUAAUACAAAUUAUGAUGUGAUUAUAUAAUCCUUGUGGUUAUUAUUAUUAUACUUAUUUGUAUUAUUUCAAUUGUUUAUGUCGGCGUGCACUUCUCCUCUAGUAGGACGUUGCGACCUGUUAAAUGUUUAUCUAUGGUCUGCAUGGUAGACUUGUGUAUUUUUAAUACGUAAGACCUGUAGAUUCCUGAUAAACUGUUUGACAGUAUAUAUAUGGUAUUGAGCCGCAAAUUUAUUUGCGUUAGACUUCAACACAAGUUAGGUUGUCUUCAAGCAGUACGGACAUGUGCCGUCGUUUGAAGCAAUCGGCUGUUAGUGUUGAAGUCUCUAACUGGCUUAUUUUACCUGUCAGCGAUGCUACUGCUUUGGGUACUUACAGGACCCGUCUUGAAACACGGACCAAGGAGUCUAACAUGUGCGCAAGUCAUUGGGAUUUUUUUUAAAACAAACCUAAAGGCGUAAUGAAAGUAAAGAUUGUCUUUAUGACAAUUGAGGGAAGAUGGGUUAUAUUACGAUAUAAUCCCGCAUUCCCAGGACGUCUUAUUCUCAUU